rnacentral:sRNA from 1 species
UGCCCUGGUAACAAAGACCUUUAGGUCAAG